CCUAAACUUGCCAUUGUUUUUAUCAAAUUUACACAUGCAAGCUUCAACAACCCAGUGAGAUUGCCCAAAACCCCUAAACAGCCAUAAGGAGCGGGCAUCAGGAUUCAGAGACAUCUAGCCUAAGACGCCUUGCUAUGCCACCCCCACACGGGUAUACAGCAGUGAAUAACAUUAAGAUAUGAGCGAAAGCUCGACUUAGUUAUGAUAAAUGUGGCCGGUAAAUUUCGUGCCAGCCACCGCGGUUAUACGAGAGGCCAAAAACAAUGACCCGCGGCGUAAAGCGUGACAAAAGUCUGUCAAAUUUUUAAGGGGGAAUUAUAUCAAAGUCGUAAAACACCUUGACUAUAAGA
rnacentral:rRNA from 1 species